rnacentral:siRNA from 1 species
CUUUCUCUGUGGGUGCAGUCCCA